rnacentral:rRNA from 1 species
AUUGAACGCUGGCGGCAGGCCUAACACAUGCAAGUCGAGCGAGCGGCGGACGGGUGAGUAAUGUAUGGGGAUCUGCCUGAUGGAGGGGGAUAACUACUGGAAACGGUAGCUAAUACCGCAUACAAUCAGAUGAACCCAUAGGGGAUUAGCGAGUAGGUGAGGUAACGGCUUACCUAGGCGACGAUCCCUAGCUGGUCUGAGAGGAUGAUCAGCCACACUGGGACUGAGACCCGGCCCAGACUCCUACGGGAGGCAGCAGUGGGGAAUAUUGCACAAUGGGCGCAAGCCUGAUGCAGCCAUGCCGCGUGUAUGAAGAAGGCCUUCGGGUUGUAAAGUACUUUCAGUCGGGAGGCGUUACCGACAGAAGAAGCACCGGCUAACUCCGUGCCAGCAGCCGCGGUAAUAC